rnacentral:rRNA from 1 species
UUGAACGCUGGCGGUAUGCUUUACACAUGCAAGUCGAACGGGCUAUGGGGCUUGCUCCAUAGUUAGUGGCGAACGGGUGAGUAAUAUAUCGGAACAUAUCCGGAAGUGGGGGAUAACGUAGCGAAAGUUACGCUAAUACCGCAUAUUCUGUGAGCAGGAAAGCAGGGGAUCGCAAGACCUUGCGCUUUAGGAGCGGCCGAUGUCGGAUUAGCUAGUUGGUGAGGUAAAGGCUCACCAAGGCGACGAUCCGUAGCGGGUCUGAGAGGAUGAUCCGCCACACUGGGACUGAGACACGGCCCAGACUCCUACGGGAGGCAGCAGUGGGGAAUUUUGGACAAUGGGCGCAAGCCUGAUCCAGCCAUGCCGCGUGAGUGAAGAAGGCCUUCGGGUUGUAAAGCUCUUUCGGCGGGGAAGAAAUCGCACGGGUUAAUACCUCGUGUGGAUGACGGUACCCGAAUAAGAAGCACCGGCUAACUACGU